rnacentral:rRNA from 1 species
CGACGUGAGGAACCUGCCUUUCAGAGGGGGAUAACAGUUGGAAACGACUGCUAAUACCGCAUAACGCUGCGAUGGGGCAUCCCGAUGCAGCCAAAGGAGCAAUCCGCUGGAAGAUGGGCUCGCGGCCGAUUAGCUAGUUGGUGGGGCAACGGCCCACCAAGGCGACGAUCGGUAGCCGGACUGAGAGGUUGAUCGGCCACAUUGGGACUGAGACACGGCCCAGACUCCUACGGGAGGCAGCAG